CCGAUGAGGUGGAAACGGACAGAGCUGGCGUAUCUGGCCUGCAUUCAGCCGCUGCGCGUCGGGCCCCGGUUUGCCGCACUCCAGAUUGGGAAGGUGGCUGGGCUGCUGGCGUGCUGGUGGCGCAUUUGCAGGUGGAGUGCGCCGAGGCGCCCGGUUCAGCGGCAUGAGCUCGGCUUUGAGGCCAGUCGCGCAAGCGGUCUGGUACCCGGGUCGGGGGAGUGUUGUUUGGGCUGGGUGUUCGCUGGGGCACAGGUUUCGGGCCCGGGUGGGUGCCGAGCUGGCGGUCGGCGGCGGUCGCGUGCGACACGUGCCAGCAGUCAGUUCGGUCCUGCUCGAGCUCUCUCGUGUCCGGCCUCGGUGUAAAAGCCGGUCAUCUGUCCGACCCGUCUUGAAACACGGACCAAGGAGUUUAGCGUGUGCGCGAGUCAUUGGGUGUUGAAAACCCAGAGGCGUAAUGAAAGUGAAGGUCUGCCUUGUGCAGCUGAUGUGUGAUCCUGGGCGCCGCGGUGCCCGGGCGCAACAUAGUCCCGUCCCGACUGCAUGCAGUGGGGCGGAGACAGAGCGUACGCGCUGAG
rnacentral:rRNA from 1 species